rfam:Caulobacter segnis ATCC 21756, complete genome.
AGAGCGGGCCGGGCCCCUCUGACGUUUCGACGCUUGCGUCGGCCGUGAUGUCGGACCGCAUCG